GACUGGGAUAACACCUGGAAACAGAUGCUAAUACCGGAUAACAACACUAGACGCAUGUCUAGAGUUUGAAAGAUGGUUCUGCUAUCACUCUUGGAUGGACCUGCGGUGCAUUAGCUAGUUGGUAAGGUAACGGCUUACCAAGGCAAUGAUGCAUAGCCGAGUUGAGAGACUGAUCGGCCACAUUGGGACUGAGACACGGCCCAAACUCCUACGGGAGGCAGCAGUAGGGAAUCUUCCACAAUGGACGAAAGUCUGAUGGAGCAACGCCGCGUGAGUGAAGAAGGGUUUCGGCUCGUAAAGCUCUGUUGGUAGUGAAGAAAGAUAGAGGUAGUAACUGGCCUUUAUUUGACGGUAAUUACUUAGAAAGUCACGGCUAACUACGUGCCAGCAGCCGCGGUAAUACGUAGGUGGCAAGCGUUGUCCGGAUUUAUUGGGCGUAAAGCGAGUGCAGGCGGUUCAAUAAGUCUGAUGUGAAAGCCUUCGGCUCAACCGGAGAAUUGCAUCAGAAACUGUUGAACUUGAGUGCAGAAGAGGAGAGUGGAACUCCAUGUGUAGCGGUGGAAUGCGUAGAUAUAUGGAAGAACACCAGUGGCGAAGGCGGCUCUCUGGUCUGCAACUGACGCUGAGGCUCGAAAGCAUGGGUAGCGAACAGGAUUAGAUACCCUGGUAGUCCAUGCCGUAAACGAUGAGUACUAAGUGUUGGGAGGUUUCCGCCUCUCAGUGCUGCAG
rnacentral:rRNA from 1 species